CGACUACGAGUUUGAUCCUGGCUCAGAUUGAACGCUGGCGGCAUGCUUAACACAUGCAAGUACGAACGCGAAAGUCCUUCGGGGCGAGUAGAGUGGCGGACGGGUGUAGUAACGCGUGGGAAUCUACCCUAGAGCGGGGGACAACCCGGGGAAACCCGGGCUAAUACCGCAUACGUCCUACGAGAGAAAGAGGGCCUCUGCUUGCACGCUCUCACUCCAGGAUGAGCCCACGUCCGAUUAGCUAGUUGGUAGGGUAAAGGCCUACCAAGGCCACGAUCGGUAGCUGGUCUGAGAGGAUGAUCAGCCACACUGGGACUGAGACACGGGCCCAGACUCCUACGGGAGGCAGCAGUGGGGGAAUAUUGGACAAUGGGCGCAAGCCUGAUCCAGCAAUGCCGCGUGUGUGAAGAAGGCCUGCGGGUUGUAAAGCACUUUCAGUGGGGAAGAACAGAUUCGGGUCAAUACCCCGGAGCCCUGACGUUACCCACAGAAGAAGCACCGGCUAACUCCGUG
rnacentral:rRNA from 1 species